AAAACAAAAGUGAACGCUGGCGGUAGGCCUAACACAUGCAAGUCGAACGGCAGCACAGAGGAGCUUGCUCCUUGGGUGGCGAGUGGCGGACGGGUGAGGAAUACAUCGGAAUCUACUCUGUCGUGGGGGAUAACGUAGGGAAACUUACGCUAAUACCGCAUACGACCUACGGGUGAAAGCAGGGGAUCUUCGGACCUUGCGCGAUUGAAUGAGCCGAUGUCGGAUUAGCUAGUUGGCGGGGUAAAGGCCCACCAAGGCGACGAUCCGUAGCUGGUCUGAGAGGAUGAUCAGCCACACUGGAACUGAGACACGGUCCAG
rnacentral:rRNA from 1 species